UACGUGGGGGGCAAGCGUUGUUCGGAAUUACUGGGCGUAAAGGGCUCGUAGGCGGCCAACUAAGUCAGACGUGAAAUCCCUCGGCUUAACCGGGGAACUGCGUCUGAUACUGGAUGGCUUGAGUUCGGGAGAGGGAUGCGGAAUUCCAGGUGUAGCGGUGAAAUGCGUAGAUAUCUGGAGGGACACCGGUGGCGAAGGCGGCAUCCUGGACCGAUAUUGACGCUGAUGCGCGAAAGCCAGGGGAGCAAACGGG
rnacentral:rRNA from 1 species